AGGAAUGAGGGUCUCCACCCCAGGGGUCUCCUUGCAGUGAGUCUAUAUGCAGGCCUGCGUCUGCUCCUGGGGCUGGUUCUGAGUGCCCAGCCUCAGUCUCCUGAGAACAUGAGGACGGAAGGGGGCAGAGUCUUGCUGAGGGCACACCCAGUUCCCACUGGAGGAGGACAGUGCCAGUCUCCUGCAAAGGGGCCUUGGGUGGGAACGGGCCCGGAGCGGGAGGAACGUGACUCCCCAGAGGGAAGAUGGGCAUCAUACUGGGCCCAGAGCUGGGAAGGAGUUGCUGCCAGCACAGGGUGGGCCUGGACUCCCCUCGCCCCUACCCCCAGUGGUUGUGGCUGUAGCCCUAAGCCUGGAGAGCAGGACCGGCCCGGGGUGGCUGGGAGGCUGCCAGGUGCCUCCCAGAGCUCCCAAGGGCCCCCACCUGCAAGUGCCAGCCUCAGGGCAGUGCCCAAAUGAGGCCCUCUCAGCUGCAGCCAGCGAUGCCUUGGGAUGCUCACUGGGAGGGAGGCGGCUUUGGGCUCCUAAGUCCUUGGGAGAGGCUGGGAGCAGUCACUGCGCGGCUUGCGCAAGCCCGUUGUCGGGUUGGGUGGCUUCCUCAGCCAGGGCUGGGAGGGACUCCAGGAUCAGGUCCUCCCUGUCUCGAGUCUCAGUGGGGUGAUGGGGAGGAGACCUGGCCACCCAUGGCUCAGGGGCAGCCGAGAACAAGGACCUGCUGGAGCUGGAAGUGCCGUGGUGUUGAGGGGUGGGGUGGGCAGCUUCUCACACCUGCCUCCUGCCUCCAUCUGUCCACCUUUCCACCACCCUGACCUGUCCCAGCCCCACACAUGGUUCUGCCUGGCUGGCCUGCCCUUGGCACCUGGCGUAGAGCACACAGAAGGCACUCAGCUAAUGCUGGGCAGGCCCACUCAUGGGGAGUGCGUGGCUGUGCGGCACCAGGGAACCGGCACAGCAGCGCCGGCAGAAAUCACAGCAGUAAACUUGUCCGGGUUGUAUGCAUCAAGGUGGCGAUGGACGUGGGUCCCCCCACUGCACUGUGGCCCUGAGCACUGUAUAGCAGCCCGGCAAUGGGAGCCAUUAUCUUGCCUCUUUGACAGAGGACACAGAGGCACAGGGAGGUGAAGUAGCUGCCCCACACUAGUGCCUCCUCGCUCACUCACCACCCCCUGCACCACAGUGCAGCCGCUUCUCCCACCAGCUGGGGUUCUUUGAACCCCCAAGCCUGGGAAGGGGGAGGUGAGUUUACAAAAUGGAAAGCUUAAAAGGAGAAAAGUGGAACCAGAGGUUUGAGAAGCCCUGAGUGGUAGAGUAAGGCCUCCAGCGCUGCCUCUGGGUGCAGGGCAGAGUGGCAGAGGAGAGGGGGAGAGGCACUGGGCACCAUGGGGGCCCAGUUCCCACUUCAGGGAUCUCUCUCGCAGAACCGAGGGUCCCCUUCAUGGGGGUAGAUGCCCAGGGCUAGCUGUUGCCACUGUCUGUGUGGACCUGAGUCCUGGACAUGCCCGAGUGACUCAGGAGUGGCUGCUUGGGCGGGCUCUGUCACCCUAGGAUGUUAUACAUUCUGGGAACUGGACAGGAGUGGCUGCUUGGGCGGGCUCUGUCACCCUAGGAUGUUAUACAUUCUGGGAACUGCAAUCAGCCACUAGAGAAGUCGGAGCUACAGGAAGUGACCCUGGGGUGGGACCUGGGGACAUGGCCAGGUCAGCAUGGGGACACCCGGCUCCAGCAGGAGCUCUGGUCUGUCCUGGGGUCUUUGGGGGCAGGGCUGCGGCCCUGGGCAGGCUUCCUCCAGGCGGAGGUCCUGGGGAAGUGGGGGAGCCAGGCCAGCUGCCGCCUCCCCCACUAUGUAGCAUCUGAUUCGUCAUCUCUCAUGAAGGCGAUUUGGUUCAUAACUCUGAAACUCUGAAAAAGGUCAAAAGAAGCAGAGAGGCCCUGGGUGGAUAUGCCAGCUUUUCUGCCGGUGCUUUCUCCCACUACUGUGGGUGGUCUGCUCUCCUCUUCAAACCUCAGCUCGUAGGGAGGGCCUGAAUCUGCCAGCCCCUCAGGAUCUCCUUCCCUCUGGGCCCUCCCCAGCCUUAAGGAGCCUCCCAGACAGAAGGGUGGACAGAGCCACCUGGGCAGCCCGAGAGACACACGGGGGUCCUCCCUGUGGACAGCCCUGCCAGCUUCCGCCCAGCCCUGAGCUUCAUUUGCAUCCUGAGGAGUAAGGGGUGGUGAAAUGGGAAUGCUGGUCUGGCUCAGCUGGUUGUGGGCAUAAGUGCCCGCUGAAUGGAUGGCAUCUCUCCCUCCUGUCUUAUGUUCUGGGGUCCAGGUGCUUCCCAGGGCCAUGCCCCUGCUGCUAAUGCUUGCCCUAACCCUUACCCUAACCAGCGUCCAGCGUCGUCUCACCGAGCCGUGAAUAAAUCAACAGAUUCGCA
rnacentral:lncRNA from 1 species